rnacentral:rRNA from 1 species
GGCGAGACCCACGCCCACAGUUGCCAGCGUACUCUCUGGAGUGACGGGUACACUGUGGGGACCGCCGCUGCUAAAGCGGAGGAAGGAAUGGGCAACGGUAGGUCAGUAUGCCCCGAAUAUCCCGGGCUACACGCGAGCUACAAUGGUUGGUACAAUGGGUAUCUACCCGAAAGGGGACGGGAAUCUCCUAAAACCAAUCUUAGUUCGGAUUGAGGGCUGCAACUCGCCCUCAUGAAGCUGGAAUCCGUAGUAAUCGCGUUUCAACAGAACGCGGUGAAUACGUCCCUGCUCCUU